AGGCGCUGAGACGGUGUGGCGCGGCGCGUUAAGUGAACCUGUGAGCUGCGGACAUUCCCGCGUGAGUAAAUGGGCUUGGAGGUUGACCGGGCGGAAUGUAAAGGAUCCCGUGAAGGAUGGGAGGAAAAAGCUCCUCUGCUGCUGCGUUCCUGCCGCCGCCGCUGCUGCUGCUGCUGCUCGCCUGCAUGUUCGCGUCUCCGGUCAGCGCCGACAGCCUAUCCGCCCCACUGAAUGUAACCAUCAAGACCUUAGAGGGCAAUGCGGCUGUGGUCACAUGGGACAUCCUAGAGGGAGAUCCGGUCAUCGGCUUUGCCAUCACACAGCAGAAGAAGGACGUGCGCAUGAUGCGUUUCAUCCAGGAAGUGAACACUACCACUCGCUCAUGUGCAUUAUGGGAUUUGGAGGCUGAUACAGAGUACAUUGUCCAUGUGCAGUCUAUCAGCAUGAGUGGCACAAGCCCUCCUAGUGACCCUGUCCUUUUCCGCACACCAAAAGAGUCGGAAAAAAUGGCCUCCAAAAGUCCUGAUGAUGUAACAAUGAAGGAGGUCGGUCAGGCACAGUUGAGGGCCGGAGAGCUAAUCAUCAUAGUAGUGGUCCUGAUCAUGUGGGCAGGUGUAAUAGCUCUCUUCUGCCGUCAGUACGACAUCAUUAAAGACAACGAGCCCAACAACAACAAGGACAAAGCCAAGAACUCGUCAGAGUGCAGCACCCCCGAGCACCCUACAGGGGGUCUACUGCGCAGCAAGGUCUAACCAAUGACAGGCAAUAACAGGCUUCAGCCUCAGGACAUGUACGUCUAUUUAUACAUAGCUGAGACAUACCGGAAAGCCAUCAAAUGACAUUAUUGUGAAACACGAGUGCCCAUCUUCAUUUGAAAAGACUUUUUAAUACCACAUCCUAUCAACAAAUACGGACCCCUUGGUGCUUGUCUACGAAGUACACAAAGACUAUGAUACACUCUAGCACAUUUGGCGAGUCCACUUGAGCACAUCUGAAGAAUGAAGCCAAGACCUGAGAAUUGAAAAGUGCAUGACCGGGCGUUCCCUCGGGUCUGGCUCCAAACAGAGACGUUCCCUAAGCUCUGAGAAGAGAGAGCUAGAAAUCCCAGGACACUCUGCCUCCAGCGCCGCCUCGCACAGAUAAGCAAAAUGUGUCAUCGCCUUUGAGGGAAGACGAUAAUAAACCGGAAUCGUGCUAUGAAUGAAGGGGAACAAUUUUUUUCCCAAAAGCUUUCUCUUCUUAUCAGUGCUGAAACAGGAUCAUAUGAGGAAGGGGAUAAACUGAAGCUAUUUCACGUAUCUCUGUCUUUCUCUCUGCAUAUUCUCUAUUUUUUUUUUAUCUUUUUUUUUUGCCAUUUGGUUCCUCUUUUCGUCAUGCAUUUCCUUUUCUUCCAACUCAUUUUUCCUCGCUUGAGGUUUCUUUUCCACCCUGAAAAGGAGGCACCGCUGUAAACGUGAUAAUGUGUAUUGGUGCAGUACGAUCUCUCUCCAUAAGCACUCUCUCGCUCUCAGGGCAUUCGAGUUAAAAACCAGAGGAUGAAUAACACAGUGGCUCACGCUGAACCUCAUCCAUCACACCAUCCACAUCAAUCCCAUUGCGAUAUAUAGACGAUAUAUACGUAUAUUAUAUUAAUGCAGUGAUGGGGAAUAUAUUUAAUCACUCGUGCGCCUUGAGUAACUCAAACAGCUUGCCGUCGAUGAUGAGUAUAUAAACGUAGAGUAUUUAUUAAGUUGCUUUGCUUCUCAUUACCUGGUAACGCUCAUGUUUUAUGAGUACUGCUAUAAUUAUGCUUCUGCUGUGACGUAUGGCUCCAUUAGAGAUUCCGGUGCCUUUCCUCCGAAGCGUUUCCUUACCAGUGUCCCAUCUCCUUCAAGACCUUCGACGCCCUCUUGUCUCAUUCUUGUGUAAUAAAUUUAUGGUUUGACAGCUUAAGUGAAGUAUGCGAGAUGAGGGAGCGGUUUGACAGCACGUUAUUGGAGUGUCAGGACAGAUGGACUUGUCACUUACAGCACAGUCGCUGACGCGGACUUCGUCCUCCAGGGACAAACUCAACAAGUCGUCAGUUUACAGGAAGCAAUAAGAACAUGCUUAAUGCAGGUCAGAGGUCUAGAAAGAAUUGAUUUGUACCACGACAGGGCGGGCAAAUAUGAGGAAUGUGUCGGACGCAGAGGCAGUACAGCUUUUAAUAAUGCUUGAUAUCUGUUGACACACAAUAUCAUUAAUAGGAAUUCAUUUAUUUAACAUUUAGAUCCAAGAGUUAGUUUGUAUGCUCUAGAAUAAGCACCAAACUAUUACUUCAAACUUUUUUUGUAAUAUGUGUUACUUAUAAAUUCAUGUUGUUACUGGGUCUAUAAUUAUUAGCGAUGCUACCCCGUCGAUACCGUUUUUCAAACCAUGUUUCAAUGCGUUUUCUGUUUGUUUCAUAUUUUAUUUUGCUCUGUUUAUGUUUCCUGUAUAUACAGCAGCCAUGAAAAGCUUGCGAACACGUCAACAUACACUUUCACCACUAAGCUUGUUCUUUAUUACGUUAGCGAGCUGAUUUUAAAUGAGGUGCAUUAGCUAGCCAUGUUAGUUACUUUCGAUGGUGUUGGAUUGCAGAGCAGAGUGGGUUUUGUUCUACUUUGGAAACGUGUUUCAAUACAGCUGUAAUUACAAUAGGUUUCAUUCUUCAGAAUCCUUCGUUGUCGAUAACUCAUAAUGGGUAAGUGCGGCUAUUUUUACUCACCUUGCGUUAUCCAGAGACAUUUUUUCUCACAUGGCUAGCGCUUACUACAGUACGUACUCCUCUCUCUGGUUUCUGGUGUUAAAGGAAUAUGUUGUGGUAUUUUUUACAGAGCACAGUAUACGGUCUGCUUUGACUACUUUAGUUUAGUCUUUUCAUGUUGCCUGUUAAUUUGAGCAAUGAUGUAUACUCACAUUACAUAAUAUAAUGUUCUAUCGGAUGCUGGUAUUAGAGUGAUUUACUAGAAGAAAUAAUUCAUGGUGUGCCAGUAUCGGGUAGCAUCCCUAAUCAUUAUAAUUACUACAACCUGGCUGCAUGUUGUGCAUAUUAGCAAUAAUAAUAUUGCUGCAUACUGUGGUUGUGUUCUUUGCUGUGAUAUUUGAACACCCAGUGUUGAAUCCUGGGUGAAGACUUUACUUUUUACUUUGUAUUAAUCAAUACAACAGCACAUGAUAAACCACUUGGUGACACGUUCAAGGGCUUGUUUAUGUAUUUAUUACAUAUAUCAGCCAUCAGAUAUACUGCAUUGUUAUCUCAAUUUCCAAUUAUUGAGAUUAAAGUUUGAGAUUCCGUUUAAGAAGCAGUAUAUCAUGCAGCUCUUCUCGGCAACGAUUUGUAUUCAGCUGCGUCACUGAUUGAUGGCAGUGUUAAUCAAGUGGGUUGAAGGGUACUUGAAGGAGUCCUACUGCAUUGAAACACCCCCCACCCACACACACACACACACACACACACCCCUCACCUCCCGUCCAGACAUACGACCGUUACAUUGUCAUAGUGGCAGCCAAACGGAGUCGUCUGUUCCUUCAUUUGUCAUGCCACCCCCAACUGCCAGCAGAAGAAGCUCUGUACUUCUCCUCUAAUAACUGCUAAUUAACCUUGGCCGGUGGGGAGAAAGCAGGAGGGCCGCCGGGUGAAAAAUGGCCGCUAUCAAUAUCGUGUCUGGGCAGCUUACAUAAGGCAGAGAGGAUUAUGUUUUCCCUUCCACAGAUCAUCGCUUUCCUGCCGCUAAGUUUCUGCUCUAACGGAUACAACGUGAGCCAGUAAAUGAGAACGAGGCCACAGUGUUCCUAAGCAUUGUUCUGCUGCAUUGACCAGAGCUUGUCCCACACAUGACCCACAAAAUAAUCAGAAAGAAAUAACCAAACUCUCCUCUCAACAUCAGUAUAGGCUCUGUUAAAGACAUUUACAUUUACUAGUCAUUUCGGAUAUUCCAUCCAUUAUAUUCCAUUAUAUAUAUAUAUAUAUAUUCUGGACAUGGAAUGGAGAAUAUAUAUAUGAUUAUAUAUAUAUACAUAGAUGGAUAUAAUGGAUAUAUAAAUCUAAAUGGAAUAGAUUUAAAAUCACUUACAAAAAAAAAAAAAACCUAAACUGUGAGUGAGAAUGUAAAAUGGCCGACUCUUGGUAACUCUUUCAUAAAUUCUCAAGUAGGACAGCUUAAAAUAUUCUGAAAUCAGCCACAUUCCUGCUUUAACCCAGUCAAUAAUAGAAAAGCUUCCUAUGAAGGUCAUAUCUACAAUUAACUAUGAACACAUUCAUAUCAUGUAAUGCACUCGAACAGCAUUAUACACAAUGGUUUAGGUAUCUACAGUAUAUAAGCAUUAGGAAUUGUUAGCGUGAGGCUAACUUUAGGCUGACAUUACAACGUCUGAAAAAAAAAAAGGUUUCGGGCUUGAUGGAACUAAUUUAAUAAAUGGCUUUGUGUAAAAAUAGAUUUGAUUUUUUUUACACAAUUACCGCUUAUAAGAAAUUAUAAUUUGGCUAUGAUGUCUUUUGUCAGUCAAUAAUCUACACUUAAAAUUGAAAUUCAAUAUGAUAAUAAUCUAUAAUGUACUAUGCAAGCCAGAGCUGGGGUUUACUUGGAUUUGGUGCUCUAAUGAGUUAUAAAUGCUGCUUAUAAUGCAUUUGAAUUCAUUUUUAAAUAAUUACAGAUAUUGCUAUGAACGCCUUUUCAUAGUCAUAGAAUUAUAACAACGAUUAUAGUGUAAUUAACACGAUAACAUUAUGAAGAUAUUUGUAGGUUAUUGUACACAUGGCUUUCAUAGAAGGAGCCAGUAAAUGAACCUUUAAGAUUUAUAUACAAUAUACAGUAAGAUUCAACACACGUUUUUACAGCUCCAGGGUCCCAGGUUCGAUCCUGCCUUUGUUUAGUUUCACACGUGUCCGGUUCCUGUGAACCAUAAUGAAACGUCAGUAAAUAGUAAGUAAAUUCAACCUUUAAAUGUUCUUAUUCUUGUGGCAGAUAAUUCUUAUUUUUACAAAUAAAAAUUAUUUCAAGGUUAAAAUGAAUAAAAUGUCUAUAAUAUCUAAGCGUUCUCCAGUUGUAGUCCCCAAAACUCCCCAAAUCCAUGCAGGAAAAAAAAAUUAAAAAUAAGUAUGACCCUAAACGGGAUAAAGCAGUUCCUUAAGAUAAACAAAUGAAUGAAGAUGAUUGUAAUGUUGAAAACAUCACCUGUGAUGAAAUUAUGCGGUGAGAAAGAAAUAGCAUAAAUUCUCUGUAAAUAUUUUCACGCUCUUGUCAUUACCAGCUUUUCUUACAGUGUUGAAGGCGUCCUAAGCACAGAGCCCUUGUUGCCUCCUUUUUCUCCCGAGACUGUGAAGGCCAGGUUAUCUUAUAUAAUCUUUAUAUUUAAAACUGGCGUAGAAACAUAUUCUAAGCCUUUUACUUCUCUUGGCUUAUGGUUCAGUUGAUCAUAUUACUCAGUAACUGUUAUUCAGUAUUCUUUAACUCGUUUUAAUUAAAACAUGUCAUUAUGAGAAUAAGGGGUCUGAAGUCUGACGGGAGUUUUUUUUUUAUGAGUAUUUAUAUUAAGACGUUGAUGAAAUACAUUUCAAACGUACGUGCUUAAACUUUUGAUCGGUACUGCAUAUUUCAUUUCUUCUUUACAAUCCAGACUCUCUGACUGUGCCAUAUUUCACCACAUUCCCAAUCCCCAAACACAAGAAGCCUUUGUUUUUCAUUUAGGCUGAUGGAAUAAAAAAUGAACCAUAAUGAAACGUCAGUAAAAAGGAAGUAAAUUCAACCUUUAAAUGUUCUUAUUCUUGUGGAAGAUAAUUCUUCUUUUUUUUUUUUUUUUUACAAAUAAGCACUUAGAAAUGUUUCGAUUAGCGGUCAGUAAGACCAGAUUAUUUCAAGGUUAAAACGAAUAAAAUGUCUAUAAUAUCUAAGCGUUCAUUAUUAAACACUUAAUAAUAAUAAGGAGUGCUGUUGGAUUCUCAAUUCUGAUUGGUCAGAAAGUUGAUUGAUUUAUUUCUGAAUCGAUUUCGGGAAUCAUUUCCCGCUACACAGGUUUAUACGGUGUUAAAGCUCUUGUUCGAAUCCGUUUUCUUACACAGAGACUUAUAUGUUGGAUGUGCAACAGAAACUGAUUAUUUAGCAUUUUAUGAAGGAGUCUCCUGUGUCAGCGCUUUGUAACAGACAGAUGUAAAGCUGUUCCUUGAAGUUUUUCAACGUGAAAGACAGAGAGACGGGUUUCUCGUUAACAAGACAAGCUGCAGCUUUUUGUUUGAUUAUUAAUUUUUUAUUAAUAAUUAAAUUAAUUACUGUUUAUAGCUGCUUCAGUAAUGUAACAUCAGCUAACUUGUUUUGUUGUCCACAACAUUAAAUGUUACUCUAAAUGGAUAAAA